rnacentral:miRNA from 13 species
ACUUAAACGUGGAUAAACUUGCU